rnacentral:rRNA from 1 species
GUCUACCGCCAUGCCACCCUGAACGUGCUUGAUCUUGUCUGAUCUCAGAAGCUAAGCAGGGUUGGGCUGGGUUAGUACUUGGAUGGGAGACCACUACAGAAUACCAGGUGCUACAGGUG